GGUUGUAGCUCAGUGGUAGAGUGCUUGCCCCCCAUGCAUGAGGCCCUGGGUUCAAUCCUCAGCAUCA
rnacentral:tRNA from 1 species